CAUUUCAUCUCGUUUCAUCUCAUUUCAUCUCAUCUCACCUCAUCAUUUCAUCUCAUCCUUUCAUUUCAUCUCAUCGUUUCAUCUCACCUCAGCAUUUCAUCAUUUCAUCUCAUCAUUUAUUUCAUCUCAUCUCAUUUCAUCAUUUCAUCUCAUCAUUUCUUAUCUCAUCAUUUCCAUUUCAUUUUCAUUUCAUUAUUUCAUCAUUUCAUUAUUUUAUUUCAUCUCAUUUCAUUA
rnacentral:lncRNA from 1 species